rnacentral:rRNA from 1 species
UGGGGAAUUUUGGACAAUGGGCGCAAGCCUGAUCCAGCCAUGCCGCGUGCGGGAAGAAGGCCUUCGGGUUGUAAACCGCUUUUGUCAGGGAAGAAAUCUUCUGAGUUAAUACCUCGGGAGGAUGACGGUACCUGAAGAAUAAGCACCGGCUAACUACGUGCCAGCAGCCGCGGUAAUACGUAGGGUGCAAGCGUUAAUCGGAAUUACUGGGCGUAAAGCGUGCGCAGGCGGUUUUGUAAGACAGAGGUGAAAUCCCCGGGCUCAACCUGGGAACUGCCUUCGUGAUUGCAAGGCUUGAGUGCGGCAGAGGGGGAUGGAAUUCCGCGUGUAGCAGUGAAAUGCGUAGAUAUGCGGAGGAACACCGAUGGCGAAGGCAAUCCCCUGGGCCUGCACUGACGCUCAUGCACGAAAGCGUGGGGAGCAAACAGGAUUAGAUACCCUGGCAGUCCACGCCCUAAACGAUGUCAACUGGUUGUUGGGAAGGUUCCUUCUCAGUAACGUAGCUAACGCGUGAAGUUGACCGCCUGGGGAGUACGGCCGCAAGGUUGAAACUUAAAUGAAUUGACGGGGGCU